GGCGGGAGGGUUACUUUCCCAGGAGAUAUCCAUUACUCUUUUAGGUGUCCUUGGCCUGAAGCCCACGGUUCAUAACACUGCUUCUGGUGGAAACAGGAGAGCAGAACAUUAAUAGAGCUAUUUUGGUACACCCUUUUUACUUUUUACUUAUUGUUACAUGAGAUAGCACCAUGUGACAUAUUGGAAGGAGACAAUUGUGUGCUUGACAAAUCGGCUAUAACCUAGGAAUUACUGAUGGUACACUUACCAACUUUAGCCUCGGCACACAGGAGGAGCUAACCCCCAAGGAGAUGAGGGGAGCAGUGAGCAGCAGCGGUGGCCGCGCUCGGGAU